GCCCCCGUAGCUCAGGGGAUAGAGCAGCGGUUUCCUAAACCGUUUGUCGGAGGUUCGAAUCCUCUCGGGGGCA
rnacentral:tRNA from 1 species